UAACACUGUUAACGCUGUCACAACCCGAAGUGGAAAGUCAACAGAGGAAAAUGAUAUAGAAAAAGAUGGAUUGAUAGAGGUGGAUUUAGAAAUCAAGGAAACAAAAAACCAUGAUGAAGAAGCAAUACCACCUCCUGUCAAGGAGAAAGAGAAGGUUCCUAAACUAGUAAUCAAACUCCCUUACCCUCCAAGACAGAAAAAGAAAAAUCAACAUGAAAAGAAUUUUGAGAAGUUCCUGGAAAU
rnacentral:lncRNA from 1 species